rnacentral:tRNA from 10 species
GUGGCUUUUAGCUGAGUAGGAGCGCCACGAUAUUCAGUACACAUUUAGAAGCGAGCGCUUCAGCAAUUUCCUUGUGGUAGAGAGGAAUGCAGCUCUGCUCCAAGUAGUUUAACCUAGAUUCGACGCCUGUUCAUGGACAGCGUGCUUAGUGCAAAUUGAAUGUAACAGUUUGCAGGUUGGGGUUGGUUUCCGGGAUUUCAGAUUUUUAAACGGACACACCGACACUCUGGAAGUGGUCUUCGAGGACCGCAUGCUCCCUCUUGUGGAUGACAACAGUUCCCAACGCCAAACAAACAAGAAAACCACAACCCAGUAACUCUCCCUGCAAAUACAGGCUUCUUUUUAUCAGGAUUCCUGCUGGAUUUCUUUGCAACGGAAUUUUUGCAACUGGCUGUCAUUAGGCAAAAUCUUUAAAUUCAGUGUUUUCUGGAAAGCUGGGUUGGGAGUGUUCCUCAAUCUUAGACUAGGUCUAUGAGAAACAAAUUCACCGUCCAAACCCAAAGAAUGGACUCAGAGACCCGGAGAACAGCAAAAGUGAGAGUUUAACGACGAUCUUGCAAGAUCGGUUGUCUGAUGAGCGGGCACACCCAGCACACUUUGAACAACCGAUUUAUCCCGUGGUGCGCAGGUCCCUCCCCGGGUUCCUCACAGGGUGGUCUCACACUUCUGAGGACUGACAUAGAUACUACUGCUAAGAAGAUACUAUGAUGUAUGGUGGACUGGAUUACAAGGAAUCACUCUAGUUUUAAGAGACAAGAUAACUGGCAGAAGUGGGAAAAAAAAAAAAAAAAGAGCCAAGAAGGUCCCACCGAGAUUUGAACUCGGAUCGCUGGAUUCAAAGUCCAGAGUGCUAACCAUUACACCAUGGGGCCACCUAUAAGCCUGCUUAUGAAGUUUUUCUUCUGACAAAUAUUUAUCCCUGAGUCACUAGCUCUUAACUGCUAAGUAUGAAAUAAUGGGUUUUUAAACAAAACUGUACUGCCCUCUACAGGAGUAUUUUGGAAAUGCCUGGGUGUUUUGCUUGUUUCAAUGACUGGGGCACAACUGGCUUUCACAGGUCAGAACCAGAGAUACUGGGAAUCUUGCAAUGCUCAGGACAAUACUGCAUAAAGAAUUAACCAUAGGAGUGCACAAUUUUUGCAAAACGACCUUGGAUCUUUCAUCUAGGUUUUCUGGGGCCUUUUCUAAUAGU